CAGAUUGUGGGUGAAAACUCAAAUAUCCUGUCUCUAGGGGAAGAAGGAAAUAUUACAAUUCAUAUAAAACUAAACCAACCUGUUUCUCUGUACUGUCCACACAUGGAGCUGGGAGGAAUAUUCUUCAGCAAGAGGCCACAUGCUUUACCUCACAGGGGACAGAGGGAUCAGGGAUAAAGAUGGCUACUCUGGUUGUCUGGUAGAGCUGAUGAUGUUGCUGAUGCGUUGGGUCAGAGGU
rnacentral:lncRNA from 1 species